rnacentral:rRNA from 1 species
CCUACGGGUGGCAGCAGUGAGGAAUAUUGGUCAAUGGACGAAAGUCUGAACCAGCCAAGUCGCGUGAAGGAUGACUGCCCUAUGGGUUGUAAACUUCUUUUAUCUGGGAAUAAAAUGUUCCAAGUGUGGGAUUUUGUAUGUACCAUAUGAAUACGGAUCGGCUAACUCCGUGCCAGCAGCCGCGGUAAUACGGAGGAUCCGAGCGUUAUCCGGAUUUGUUGGGUUUAAAGGGAGCGUAGGUGGAUUGUUAAGUCAGUUGUGAAAGUUUGCGGCUCAACCGUAAAAUUGCAGUUGAAACUGGCAGUCUUGAGUACAGGAGAGGUGGGCGGAAUUCGUGGUGUAGCGGUGAAAUGCUUAGAUAUCACGAAGAACUCCGAUGGCGAAGGCAGUUCACUGGACUGCAACUGACACUGAGGCUCGAAAGUGUGGGUAUCAAACAGGAGUAGAUACCCGAGUAGUC